ACCCUAUUAAGCACUAAGGAUAUAAAUGCAAAAAGCAAGAUAAUCGCUGUUGUCAAGAAGCUUACAUUCUGUUAGGGGAAACAACGUAUAUAAAGGAGUGGUAGCUAGGGCUGGCUUUUUUGACCAAAUGAGUUAACAUAGGUAAAGCACUUUGCAAACCUUAAACUGCUACAUAAAUACCAGCACUUUUGAUAGACCUAUGAUUGACAGGCUUGUUGCACCAGCUUUUUUUCUACCUAGUGGUCUGAGGCUGUCCUUAGUGAAGUAAGAUGGAUCAGUCACCUUGUGCCGGAUGUUGUAGACUGCACAAUUCUGCAGGCAUACUGUACAUAGCCCCCAUCAACCUCUGCAUUCCCCAGGUUUUUUAAAAUAGUGAUGUGUGUGUCCAGCUGUGGUUGUGUUAUAAAACUAUAAAUUACCUUAACAAUUCAUUAUGAUUGUUAUAGAAAAUACAUAAAUCACCAUCAAAGCCCACAAACUGAGUUUCCUGAACACUCUUUUGUUCAUUCAAAAUCUGGUGCUCCUUUCUAAUGAAAGGCAAUAGCAUAGACAGUGUCAAUUAUGGGUUCCAAGGCCUUGUUUUUAGAUUCUUUUCUAAUCAUUAGGAGACAAAUUACUUACUUCUGAAGUGUAUGCUGUCACUCGUUGCUACAAGAGGCUGGACCACCCACUAAACCACCUGACUAAUUAGCUGUCUUUUAUAUUUGUCCAGCCACCACGACUACUUUUUACCAUAAUCUCGACUGUCUUUGAGCACAGUGCUUGGAACAUCCAUGGAAGGCACUUAAUAUCUAUGCUGGCUGGCUGAUUGACCAAUCACAAGACAAAUUUAAAGCUGGAAGAGCCCUGAGCCGUCAUCUAGGAACAAGCCUCUUAUUCUUAUAGAAAACAUAGUUACUUAAGUAAAAAAAAAAAAUGUAACUCUAGUUUUUAUAUAAACAGCAACAAAAGAAAUACAUUGAACUAAAACACAGAAAUCACAAAAACUCUUCUUUUUGCGAUAGGCAGAGCAGACAGAAACAUUUAACCCUGAUGUGACUGUGUAGGGAGGUAUGAAGGGAAUAUGCUAUGUUAAAAUUGUCUACUGCUCCAUUUCACAUUAAGAGUAACCUUCAAAUUGUCAUGUUGCUGAGGGGCUUUCUAGGAAGAAUUAAGUCUGCAGUAACUCUGGGCAAGUCACUUUAACCUCAGUCUGCCUCAGUUUCCUUAUCUGAAACAUGAUAAUAGUAGUACUUACUUCCCAGGUUUGUUGUGAGGAUAAAAUGAGAUAAUAUUUGUAAAGCAUUUUGCAAACCUUGAAGUGCUAUGUACUUGCUAGCAAGCAUUAUCAUUGUUAUUAAAAAAUGAGGUUUGGAGAGCUCAGAAAAUACCAAAAACCUGGCCCCAGAAAUCUUCAAAGACUAGAGCCACAACUAGGUAAGGUGACCUGAACUUUGCUUCAAGGCACUAAAAUGUGAAGGAUAAAAAAAUAAUAAUGAAUAUUUUAAGAGACUAUGCAAUUUAAAAUUUUGUUACAUUUUAACAGCAUUUUCCCAUUCCUUCAGCAGCAUAGAUAUUAAAGGAUAAUUAAACUAGGAAGUUAACAGUUGUUGGAUACCCUCUACCCUCUGCUUUCUGCCUCUUCCCUUCCUCCCCCUAUCUCCACCCAUAUGUCCAUUGAGCUGCUCCCCAGGCAGCAUUCCUAAGCAUCAGUUCAAAAUGCCCCAAAUUCUGACUCUAAAUCUUCGGGUAGUGUGCCAGGGUCUCUCCCACCUUGGGGUCUGUGCCAGAGAUCUCUACAACAUAAUCCACACAGAAAGUGAUGGGAUGGCAUGCUUAAAUUCUUCUGUGGUUGAUUUGAGGGAGCAUUUAGUGAUGUUUCCCAGUUGUUGACUAAUGUCCUAUCAUCUAGCAUGGAAAAUCAUUGCCUUU